AAAUGAUUCACAUCACUAUUCUAUAGAGCACGUAAGAUUCUGGCUCCGCCCCGUUACUCGCUCUUCACUGAACCUAGAUGUAGAGGGAGAAGUUUGAACUCCGAGUGGAGUAGAAGUAAAGAGAGUUUUUAACCUUCACACGUAUCUGUAUCAGCUCUUAGUACUAUACAGGUGACGUUUAAUCAGACUGCUGAUCUGCCCUGUCUACGGAAAUGUUCUGGUUUGGCAAAAUGGACUCUCAUCAGUAACCGAGAUGAUGUAGUGGCUGAGUGUGAUCAGACAUCCUGCAGGUCAUUAAAGGAGGGAUUUAAUAUUUCCCAUGAUAGGUACCUGAAGGGAGAUCUCACCCUCACCAUCACUGCAGCUGAUUACAAUAAGAGGAACACGUACACGUGUUGGUGUGGUGACAGAGGCGUUAAUGACGUGCGUCUCGGUAUCAAGCCGCCGACAUCAUCAGUUAAGAUAAAACCUGGUGGAGAUCUGAAGAUGGAUUUGCACGUACCAGAGCUAGCGAAGGUGAUCUAUGAGGGUGAGGAGAUCUGCAGUGUGGAUAAAAGCUCACUACACUGUACAGAAGAAUACAGACCGAGAACAUCACUCUCUAACACAGUUCUUACACUGAGAGGAGUAAACUUCACUGAUGGUGGUGUUUACAUCGUCCGAGACACGGGGAAUAAUGAAGAUCUUCAUAUUUACUCCGUAUCAGUGUGUGUGUGUGUGUGUGGAAAAUUCAACAUUUAUCAGAAUAAACUGAAUUAUGGGAAACAUUGAGUACAGAUUUAUGUUUGUGAUGGUCUGAUAACUGCAAACAGUCUGAUUUUGGUAUCUGAUAAUGGCUUUAAUUAAAUAAGGUCACAUGACCAUUUAGCCUACAAGUUAUUCCAAACAAUAACAUAUAAACAUAAAUCUAUAUAAAUAUCAGUGAUUAUAAUAUAAUAUAUGAAGAUAUAUAACGAUCCUUCUGGGCUUCUCUCAUUGUCUGGUGUUUGACUUCAUCUGCAGUGUACUGAA